GCAGUCGCCACGGUAAUACGGAGGGUGCAAGCGUUAAUCGGAAUUACUGGGCGUAAAGCGCACGCAGGCGGUUUGUUAAGUCAGAUGUGAAAUCCCCGAGCUUAACUUGGGAACUGCAUUUGAAACUGGCAAGCUAGAGUCUUGUAGAGGGGGGUAGAAUUCCAGGUGUAGCGGUGAAAUGCGUAGAGAUCUGGAGGAAUACCGGUGGCGAAGGCGGCCCCCUGGACAAAGACUGACGCUCAGGUGCGAAAGCGUGGGGAGCAAACAGGAUUAGAUACCCGCGUAGUCCCUGUCUCUUAUAC
rnacentral:rRNA from 1 species